rnacentral:rRNA from 1 species
AGCAGUGGGGAAUUUUGGACAAUGGGCGCAAGCCUGAUCCAGCAAUGCCGCGUGAGUGAAGAAGGCCUUCGGGUUGUAAAGCUCUUUUGUCAGGGAAGAAACGGUGAGGGCUAAUAUCUCUUGCUAAUGACGGUACCUGAAGAAUAAGCACCGGCUAACUACGUGCCAGCAGCCGCGGUAAUACGUAGGGUGCAAGCGUUAAUCGGAAUUACUGGGCGUAAAGCGUGCGCAGGCGGUUUUGUAAGUUUGUCGUGAAAGCCCCGGGCUCAACCUGGGAAUUGCGAUGAAGACUGCAAGGCUUGAAUCUGGCAGAGGGGGGUAGAAUUCCACGUGUAGCAGUGAAAUGCGUAGAGAUGUGGAGGAACACCGAUGGCGAAGGCAGCCCCCUGGGGUCAAGAUUGACGCUCAUG